UGUGGAGUAGGUCAUUAACGCAAAGCUGUCACUCUGCCAGGCCACAGACACUUUGGUCCUUUGGGGGAGAGGGAAGAGAGCCAAGUGCCAGCCCCCAGGUCCCCAGAAGAGUCCUGGACCACGAGGACAUGAGGUGGAGUGAGUGUCCUGCUGGGAAGGACAGGGCCACACACAGAGCACCCCUGGGCCUGUGCUGAAUCCUCUGACACGAGCUGUGAACACAGUGCGAGUGUGGACGUGUGUAUGAAGAGAGACAAGGAGGACGCGGCGAAACGUUCAGAACAGGGAAAUCGGUCCGAGCCAUGUCCCCAGCAACUGUGGCAGAUGAGGCCACCACCCAGCCUGCUCCGCUCCCCGCUCAGAGCACCUGCACCGCGCGGGGCGCAGGGCAGAUCCAGGGCAGAGCACUCCCCUGAACUGUCUCCAUGCUCACACGUCACUCAGCCUCACUGCAGAACAGCUGCAGAAAGAAGCUACACGCCACACCUGCAACAAAGGCCAGCAGACACCAAAAAUCCCCUGUAG
rnacentral:lncRNA from 1 species